rnacentral:rRNA from 1 species
AGCUCAUGAUUGGGCAUAAAGGGAGCGUAGGCGGACAUUUAAGUCAGGGGUGAAAUCCCGGGGCUCAACCUCGGAAUUGCCUUUGAUACUGGGUGUCUUGAGUAUGAGAGAGGUAUGUGGAACUCCGAGUGUAGAGGUGAAAUUCGUAGAUAUUCGGAAGAACACCAGUGGCGAAGGCGACAUACUGGCUCAUUACUGACGCUGAGGCUCGAAAGCGUGGGGAGCAAACAGGAUUAGAUACCCUGGUAGUCCACGCCGUAAACGAUGAUUGCUAGUUGUCGGGAUGCAUGCAUUUCGGUGACGCAGCUAACGCAUUAAGCAAUCCGCCUGGGGAGUACGGUCGCAAGAUUAAAACUCAAAAAAUUAGACGG